UCUAUCCACAAACGACACCACAGAUAUAUACAUUGAAAAUUUAUCUUCCCCUAACUCUGGUGCACCCUCUCGCAGUUUUUCUACAAAACAACCAAAGGGACGCGUGCCGUCUUUUUUAUCUGAGUGCAUUUUGCGGAAUAGUUGCUAUCUGAGGACUCUGGAAAAAAAAAAAAAAAAAAGAAGGAAUCGGUGAUAUCUUGUUCGAAAACAGAUACACCAUAUAUACCGUAUCAGUGCAACCGCGUAUUCUCUCACUCACGGUGGUAUUAGGCCGUAUGAGUAAAGGAAAGAAGGUGAAGGAGGGUGAGGUCGAAGGGGAAAACGAAGAAGGGGCAGAUGGUAGCGUCUUCUUCGCAGCCAAGUGGCAGCGGGCACGCGCCAAUCGAGUCCGAAAGAACAUCUGCCGCUAGGUUCCCAGGAGUACAAGAGAACCACCGACUCGCAGGCAACAGGCCAUCUUCUAACAACCAGUCAAUCUGGAAAAGAGGAGGAACAGUCGGUGGAACAGUUGUCACGUUGAUUUUUCACUUGGAAAAGGUGGUUGGCAGACGGUGGGAGAAAGGUGGUCUAGGAGGUUUGGCCUGAUCAAUUUUCUUAACGAUGGCACGUGGUACUGUGCUACCACCAGUUUCCUAGUGGCAACUUUGCAGAUGAAUUUUUAAUGGAGUGUCUCAAUAAUACCAAAAGAAUUGCAACAAAUCUACUUCAAUUCUUACUUUAAUUCUACUAAUGGCAGAUGCGAGUACUUCAACAUAAGGAACGUUCAAUGGCAAAUAUUCUUUAUAGAGCAAGAUUCUUUAAGGUUGACACCGGUUUUCCUUCCACCGAUUCUCCUUUUCUUCUCCUUCCAAUGCAGAUGCAGUUUUUCCAUUAUGUCUCGAGGUCCUCGUGCCACCAGUCACCUCUCCCAUCCAUCCCCCACGGCGACUUUCGAUCUUUACAGAUCGCGCACGUGCUCGAUACCACCUCCCAGGUUUUCUCUUCCUCCUCGAUGAUCCUUUGUAUCUUGCGAGGAGGAAAUCCGUCGCGAUCUUAAGCUCGUCAUGCACGACGUGGUUCCAUUGUGAAGCGGUACAAUGAUCUGAGGGGAGGGGGAGGGGGGCGUAGCCCAUCUCGGAUUCGAAAGUCUCGAGUGGGAGUUGAAGCGUAAAGACAUUUUUUUUUUUUAAUAUAUGAAAGACAACUCUAUGUUCGCAACUUAUGUGCUUAUUUUCUUUUCUCUGGAA
rnacentral:misc_RNA from 1 species